ensembl:lncRNA
CUAUUGACACAUCAACAAGAAGAAAAGACAGAUUUAUUGAUUUAUUUUUUUUUUUUUCUAUUUGGAAAGUCCUGGUAUUGUCCAUAUAAGCAAAAUGGUGAGCUCUGGUCCUAAUACAGAAUCUGGAGUUCAGCUUUCAGGAAAUCCUCUCCCACCACCUUUUCAUAGAGAAGAAGACUUGUCAACAGCAGGACUUGAUGCAAAUAGAAAAAGACAAAACGUCUUUAUUUGUUGAAAUUCUCCAGCCAUGUUCAUGGGAAAAGCACAGGAGCUAAGUAUAGAUCAGGCACAGCUUAAAACAAAAAUUCAAUUUCUUUAUGGUAAGCUGCUCAAAAUCUCUAUAAAAGAAUGUUGUC